AGCUUGUUGGCGUAGUGGUAACACGCUCCGUAGCGAUAUGUAAUGUUCGCAUAUGGUUUAACGGAAGGUCCGAAGUUCAAUUCUUCAUCAAGCCU